rnacentral:rRNA from 1 species
UACGGGGGGGGCAAGCGUUGUUCGGAAUUACUGGGCGUAAAGGGCUCGUAGGCGGCCAACUAAGUCAAACGUGAAAUCCCUCGGCUUAACCGGGGAACUGCGCUUGAUACUGGAUGGCUUGAGAUUGGGAGAGGGAUGCGGAAUUCCAGGUGUAGCGGUGAAAUGCGUAGAUAUUGGGAGGAACACCGGUGGCGAAGGCGGCCCCCUGGACCGGUACUGACGCUGAGGCGCGAAAGCGUGGGUAGCAAACGGG